CCUACGGGUGGCAGCAGUGAGGAAUAUUGGUCAAUGGGCGAGAGCCUGAACCAGCCAAGUCGCGUGAGGGAGUACUGCCCUAUGGGUUGUAAACCUCUUUUGUCGGGGAGCAAAAGCCGGACGUGUCCGGCUGUGAGAGUACCCGAAGAAAAAGCAUCGGCUAACUCCGAGCCAGCAGCCGCGGUAAUACGGAGGAUGCGAGCGUUAUCCGGAUUUAUUGGGUUAAAGGGGGGCGCAGGCGGAUUUUUAAGUCAGCGGUAAAAUCGUGGGGCUCAACCCCAUCCAGCCGUUGAAACUGGGGAUCUAGAGUGUGCGAGAGGUAUGCGGAAUGCGUGGUGUAGCGGUGAAAUGCAUAGAUAUCACGCAGAACCCCGAUUGCGAAGGCAGCAUACCGGUGCACAACUGACGCUCAGGCACGAAAGCGUGGGUAUCGAACAGGAUUAGAUACCCCUGUAGUC
rnacentral:rRNA from 1 species